UACAGAGGGGGCGAGCGUUGUUCGGAAUUACUGGGCGUAAAGGGCGCGUAGGCGGCCUUCUAAGUCGAACGUGAAAUCCCCGGGCUCAACCCGGGAACUGCGUCCGAUACUGGGAGGCUUGAAUCCGGGAGAGGAGACUGGAAUUCCCGGUGUAGCGGUGAAAUGCGCAGAUAUCAGGAAGAACACCCGUGGCGAAGGCGGUUCUCUGGGACGGUACUGACGCUGGAGACGCGAAAAGCGUGGGGAGCGAACAGG
rnacentral:rRNA from 1 species